GAUGAACGCUGGCGGCGUGCCUAACACAUGCAAGUCGAGCGAACAGAUUAGGAGCUUGCUCCUCUGACGUUAGCGGCGGACGGGUGAGUAACACGUGGACAACCCACCUAUAAGACUUGGAUAACUUCGGGAAACCGGAGCUAAUACCGGAUAACAUAUUGAACAGCAUGGCGCAAUAGUGAAUGACGGUUUUGCUGUCGCUUAUAGAUGGAUCGGCGCCCCAUUAGCUAGUUGGUGAGGUAACGGCUUACCAAGGCAACGAUGCGUAGCCGACCUGAGAGGGUGAACGGCCACACUGGAACUGAGACACGGUCCAGACUCCUACGGGAGGCGGCAGUGGGGAAUCUUCCGCAAUGGGCGGAGGCCUGGCGGGGCAACGCCGCGUGGGUGAUGAAAAUCUUCGGAUCGUAAAAGUCUGUUGUUAGGGAUGAACAAAUGUGUAAGUAACUAUACACGUCUUGACGGUACCUAAUCAGAAAGCAACGGCUAACUACGUG
rnacentral:rRNA from 1 species